AACGAACGCUGGCGGCAUGCCUAACACAUGCAAGUCGAACGAGACCUUCGGGUCUAGUGGCGCACGGGUGCGUAACGCGUGGGAACCUGCCCUUAGGUUCGGAAUAACUCCCCGAAAGGGGUGCUAAUACCGGAUAAUGUCUUCGGACCAAAGAUUUAUCGCCUUUGGAUGGGCCCGCGUUGGAUUAGCUAGUUGGUAGGGUAAAAGCCUACCAAGGCGACGAUCCAUAGCUGGUCUGAGAGGAUGAUCAGCCACACUGGGACUGAGACACGGCCCAGACUCCGACGGGGGGCAGGAGGGGGGAAUUUUGGAAAAUGGGCGAAAGCCUGACCCAGAAAUGCCGGGGGAGGGAUGAAGGCCUUAGGGUUGAAAAGCUCUUUUACCCGGGAUGAUAAUGACAGUACGGGGAAAAAAAGCCCCGGCUAACCCCGU
rnacentral:rRNA from 1 species